rnacentral:tRNA from 1 species
AUAUAAAUAAGCUAAUUUAAGCUUUUAGGCCCAUACCCUAACCAUAGAACUAAAAUAUUCUUUUAUAUA